CAUGCAGUCGUACGGGAUCCGAGGUAGCAAUACUUUGGUGAGAGUGGCGCACGGGUUGCGUAACACGUAUGCAACCUACCUUUAACCGGGACACAACCUCGAGAAAUUGUGGCUAAUAUCCCAUAACACUGCGAAGUGGCAUCACUUUGCAGUUAAAACUCCGGUGGUUAUUGAUGGGCAUGCGCGACAUUAGCUAGUUGGUGAGGUAACGGCCCACCAAGGCUACGAUGUCUAGGGGUUCUGAGAGGAUUAUCCCCCACACUGGUACUGAGACACGGACCAGACUCCUACGGGAGGCAGCAGUAAGGAAUAUUGGUCAAUGGGCGCAAGCCUGAACCAGCCAUGCCGCGUGAAGGAUGACGGUCCUAUGGAUUGUAAACUUCUUUUGUAUAGGGAUAAACCUAGAUACGUGUAUCUAGCUGAAGGUACUAUACGAAUAAGCACCGGCUAACUCCGUGCCAGCAGCCGCGGUAAUACGGAGGGUGCAAGCGUUAUCCGGAUUUAUUGGGUUUAAAGGGUCCGUAGGCGGGCCGAUAAGUCAGUGGUGAAAUCUCAUAGCUUAACUAUGAAACUGCCAUUGAUACUGUCGGUCUUGAGUAAAUUAGAGGUAGCUGGAAUAAGUAGUGUAGCGGUGAAAUGCAUAGAUAUUACUUAGAACACCAAUUGCGAAGGCAGGUUACCAUGAUUUAACUGACGCUGAGGGACGAAAGCGUGGGGAGCGAACAGGAUUAGAUACCCUGGUAGUCCACGCCGUAAACGAUGCUAACUCGUUUUUGGGGCGCAAGCUUCAGAGACCAAGCGAAAGUGAUAAGUUAGCCACCUGGGGAGUACGUUCGCAAGAAUGAAACUCAAAGGAAUUGACGGGGGCCCGCACAAGCGGUGGAUUAUGUGGUUUAAUUCGAUGAUACGCGAGGAACCUUACCAAGGCUUAAAUGGGAAAUGACGGAUUUAGAAAUAGAUCCUUCUUCGGACAUUUUUCAAGGUGCUGCAUGGUUGUCGUCAGCUCGUGCCGUGAGGUGUUAGGUUAAGUCCUGCAACGAGCGCAACCCCUGUCACUAGUUGCUAACAUUAAGUUGAGGACUCUAGUGAGACUGCCUACGCAAGUAGAGAGGAAGGUGGGGAUGACGUCAAAUCAUCACGGCCCUUACGCCUUGGGCCACACACGUAAUACAAUGGCCGGUACAGAGGGCAGCUACACAGCGAUGUGAUGCGAAUCUCGAAAGCCGGUCUCAGUCCGGAUUGGAGUCUGCAACUCGACUCUAUGAAGCUG
rnacentral:rRNA from 1 species